rnacentral:rRNA from 1 species
CAGCCGCCGCGGUAAAACGUAGGGUGCAAGCGUUAAUCGGAAUUACUGGGCGUAAAGCGUGCGCAGGCGGUUAUAUAAGACAGAUGUGAAAUCCCCGGGCUCAACCUGGGAACUGCAUUUGUGACUGUAUAGCUAGAGUACGGCAGAGGGGGAUGGAAUUCCGCGUGUAGCAGUGAAAUGCGUAGAUAUGCGGAGGAACACCGAUGGCGAAGGCAAUCCCCUGGGCCUGUACUGACGCUCAUGCACGAAAGCGUGGGGAGCAAACAGGAUUAGAUACCCCUGUAGUCCCUGUCUCUUAUAC